rnacentral:rRNA from 1 species
ACGGGGACCCGCACAAGCGGUGGAUGAUGUGGAUUAAUUCGAUGCAACGCGAAGAACCUUACCUACCCUUGACAUGUCCGGAACUUGCCAGAGAUGGCUUGGUGCCCGAAAGGGAAUCGGAACACAGGUGCUGCAUGGCUGUCGUCAGCUCGUGUCGUGAGAUGUUGGGUUAAGUCCCGCAACGAGCGCAACCCUUAUCAUUAGUUGCUACGCAAGGGCACUCUAAUGAGACUGCCGGUGACAAACCGGAGGAAGGUGGGGAUGACGUCAAGUCCUCAUGGCCCUUAUGGGUAGGGCUUCACACGUCAUACAAUGGUCGGUACAGAGGGUUGCCAAGCCGCGAGGCGGAGCCAAUCCCACAAAGCCGAUCGUAGUCCGGAUUGUUCUCUGCAACUCGAGAGCAUGAAGUCGGAAUCGCUAGUAAUCGCAGGUCAGCAUACUGCGGUGAAUACGUUCCCGGGUCUU